rnacentral:rRNA from 1 species
UACGUAGGCAGCGAGCGUUGUUCGGAAUUACUGGGCGUAAAGAGUGUGUAGGCGGUGCUCUAAGUUCGGUGUGAAAUCUCCUGGCUCAACUGGGAGGGUGCGCCGGAACUGGAGUGCUUGAGCGUGGGAGAGGAAAGGCGGAAUUCCUGGUGUAGCGGUGGAAAUGACGUAGAUAUCAGGAGGAACACCUGUGGUGUAGACGGCUUCUGGACCAUUGCUGACGCUGAGACACGAAAGCGUGGGUAGCAAACAGG